rnacentral:lncRNA from 1 species
UAAAAGCCAUGAUAUAUAUGUAUGACUUCAUAUUAUAUUCAAUCUAACUAUAACUGCCCUGUCAGAUUAGUCACAAGUUGCAUUCUUACAAGUUUUCUGCUGACUCAAACCUUGUUCUGAAAUCUUGCAGUUGCGUUACCCAUAAAUUCAAACAUGUCUAUUUUUGUAAAAUUGUAAAAAGACGAGGACAAAAUAUCUAGUAAUAAUUCAAAUAAUUAUAUUAUACUAAUAAAAUCUCUGAUGAUACAUUAUACCUAGACAAUUUGUGCUUGCUACCAUGUCGACACUGCAAUAGUAAAUGUUUUUAAUGGAAAACUUCACAGGAGAAUUCUAAGGUUCCAUCUGGAUGGAAAGGGAAAGGAAAUUCCUUCAAUGAGUUGGUCUACAACAUUUUCUUACUUUCUAAGGCUGCAUGGUAUUUACAGAUAAUAUAUUCCACCUCAGUUUAGGAGUUUGUUAUUCUGUUUAUGAGAAAAGCUGCUUGAUGACAUUCAAAACUCCAAAAGGUGGAUGGUAAAGAAGCUUGGUGUUUAGAGUUUUUGCAGUCUCGACAACAUGGCGAUGUCGUAUUUCUACUAUAGCAAUUCGACGUGGAGUAUAAGGUACAAAAAUUAAGUGUUC